rnacentral:rRNA from 1 species
CCUACGGGUGGCAGCAGUGGGGAAUAUUGCACAAUGGGGGAAACCCUGAUGCAGCGACGCCGCGUGAGUGAAGAAGUAUUUCGGUAUGUAAAGCUCUAUCAGCAGGGAAGAAAAUGACGGUACCUGAUUAAGAAGCACCGGAUAACUACGUGCCAGCAGCCGCGGUAAUAUGUAGGGGGCCAGCGUUAUCCGGAUUUACUGGGUGUAAAGGGGGUGUAGACGGCAGCACAAGUCUGCAGUGAAAUGCCGGGGCUUAACCCCGGAACUGCUUUUGAAACUGUGCAGCUAGAGUGCAGGAGAGGUAAGUGGAAUGCCUAGUGUAGCGGUGAAAUGCGUAGAUAUUAGGAGGAACACCAGUGGCGAAGGCGGCUUACUGGACUGUAACUGACGUUGAGGCUCGAAAGCGUGGGGAGCAAACAGGAUUAGAUACCCCUGUAGUC